GACGAACGCUGGCGGCGUGCUUAACACAUGCAAGUCGAACGAAGAGCGAUGGAAGCUUGCUUCUAUCAAUCUUAGUGGCGAACGGGUGAGUAACGCGUAAUCAACCUGCCCUUCAGAGGGGGACAACAGUUGGAAACGACUGCUAAUACCGCAUACGAUCUGACCUCGGCAUCGAGGAUGGAUGAAAGGUGGCCUCUAUUUAUAAGCUAUCACUGAAGGAGGGGAUUGCGUCUGAUUAGCUAGUUGGAGGGGUAACGGCCCACCAAGGCGAUGAUCAGUAGCCGGUCUGAGAGGAUGAACGGCCACAUUGGGACUGAGACACGGCCCAGACUCCUACGGGAGGCAGCAGUGGGGAAUCUUCCGCAAUGGACGAAAGUCUGACGGAGCAACGCCGCGUGAGUGAUGACGGCCUUCGGGUUGUAAAGCUCUGUUAAUCGGGACGAAAGGCCUUCUUGCGAAUAGUUAGAAGGAUUGACGGUACCGGAAUAGAAA
rnacentral:rRNA from 1 species